GUCCGGUUGAUCUAGUCGGUUAUGAUGCAGACCUAAUACGAUUCUUCUCGAUCCAGUGUUUAGUCUGAUGUCGGCGGUUCGAUCCCGCCACUGGACA